GUUCAGGUAGUUUAAAUAGAACAUAACACUGAAGAUGUUAUAGUGGAUUUUGUCCCCCGAACA
rnacentral:tRNA from 1 species